rnacentral:rRNA from 1 species
AUUCCAGCUCCAAUAGCGUAUAUUAAAGUUGUUGCAGUCAAAAAGCUCGUAGUUGGAUUUCUGGCGAGGCUUGGUCGGUCGGCGCUUAGCGUGUGAACCGUGUCGAGCCUUGCCAUCCUGAGGAAGAACCUUGUUGGCAUUAAGUUGUCGACUUGGGUACUCCUCUCGUUUACUGUGAAAAAAUUAGAGUGCUCAAAGCAGGCUUAUUAUGCCGUGAAUAGUCCAGCAUGGAAUAAUAAGAUAGGACCUCGGUGCUAUUUUGUUGGUUUGCGCACCAAGGUAAUGAUUAAUAGGGACAGUUGGGGGCAUUCAUAUUCCAUUGUCAGAGGUGAAAUUCUUGGAUUAACGGAAGAUGAACUUCUGCGAAAGCAUCUGCCAAGGAUGUUUUCAUUA